rnacentral:lncRNA from 1 species
ACAACAACAACACGAUCAAAGAGUUCAGAUUUAAUUUUCAAUCAGCAUGCAAUCGGUGGUGCUGCUGCUAUAACUACUAUGAUGGAUUAGCUUAAUAUCGACCAAAGACAUACAAGAGAGAGGUGCCAUCACUUCAGACUUGGGGAGAUGCCAUCACUUCAGACUUGGGGAGAAUCGGUCAAAAUCUCGCAAGAUAUAUCAAUUUCUUAGCUGUGAAAUUGGUAAAAGAAAAAGAAGACGCAGAAAAAGAACAAACUCAAAGUUGGAGGACAAUAAAAAGAUCUCAGACUUGAUAUGAAGUGGGAGGACUAUGUAUUCUUUGUUCACUUCCUG